rnacentral:lncRNA from 1 species
CAAAAGGACCAAGUAGGUGCAUCACCUACUUGGACUCCUUGACCAACUCAAAGAUCCAAGUAGGUGGAUCACCGACUUAGCCAUUUUUGUGGCCCAAAAUAAAGAGAUAAAGAGAGGUGGUGGAGACUCUUUAAGACAAAGACUUGGUUGAUGUUCUCUUAUCAUUUUUACAUACAUAAAUUCUAUGAGCUCUCUCAAGUUUAUAUCUUCAUCUCUCAACUUCAAGCAUCUGCCUCAAAUUAUAUCUAGGAUUCUUGAAGAAAUCCUCCUCUUUCAAAGCUAACUUUGAAGGUUAAUUCAAGCCCUUGAAGGACUGCAAGUCAAGGUCUAAAUUUGCAGAAAUUUAGGUAAUCUUACUUCCCCAUUUUAUCUCAAUAUAUAUAUUAGAUUGGGUGAGAUUUAUCUAGGUUAUUUUCAUGAAAUUAUGGGACUAUGACCGAAAUUGAUGAGUCCAAGCUUUAGUGAUUAUGAUAAAACGUGUGGAGCUGCCUAAUAUGGUGAAUCUUGGAGCAGUAUUGGGUGGAUAGUUGGAUUCAUUUGGUGGUGAAGGACGCUGUUUUAUACCUAUGUAUGCUAGUUAAAGUGUUGUUUGUGUGUAUGAGAUAGUUGGGUGUUGAAACACCAGUUUUGAAAAUUGUGGAGCUUUAUGCCCGCUAGGUGUUCGACAUAAUAUCCUACUGGUCUAUUUCUUGACCUAUUGACUCUAUUGACUCUAUUGUAAUGUAAUCGAUCUGUAUAUUUAUAUUAUAAUUUAUAGUGUUGGAUGGUCUUAUUAGAAAGUCGUGUGAAGUGUUUUCAGGGAAGAAAUGAAGGGUCUAGUGAUGUACCAUUUAAAUUGAGGGUUGUGCAGGCUUGCUACCCAUUAUGUGUCUAUUUAUUUGUCUGGGUGUUUUGAAGCUCGGGCAGUGCCAGGAGAUUUCAUGAGAAAGUCGUAAGUUGUGUAAACAUGUGAGAAGGGAAUGUGUGAAAGGAACACCCAAUAGUAGAUGGGUUACAAGUAUGCUGCCUGCCUAUUGUCUUGGUAAGUUGAAGUGAUCCAAGCUUGUUGAUUAGCUGCUAAUAUAACUCUAUUACUUGCCACUAUUGUAGAUUAACACUUUAAAGGAAAGUCUGAAUCAUGGUAAUACAUAGUACUGUCCGGGAGACAAGGUAAGUAAGGCUAUUCAAUUUAAUAUUCUUUGGCAUGAAUUCCUAUAUUUCUGGUACCAACAAAGCAAGCUUUCUAAAUAAUCCUUGUUGUUAAAGAUAUGUUGUGAUGGUGUAUAAUCUCUAAUUUAUUUAAUAUCCUUCUACUGCCACGGUUUCACAAAUGUGUCAAACAACUCCAAUAGGUGUUCAUUAUCCUAUAUCGAUGUUGUAAUACUUUCAAGUACGAGUAUGAUAAAAGUACUCUAAAAAGUAAGUUUCAUGAGUUAUCCUCUAAAUCAAAUGAGGAGUCCUUGAGUCAAUAAGAUCCUACAUUACACAUGUUAUGAGUUUUCAUAGGCCAGAUAUAUUCUGUCCAAUUUAUAAGUCCUUACAUGGAAUACUUAUCUCUUAUUUCGGAUUUGUCCAUGUGCAUCAUUAGUUCACAUAUUUAUACACCCUUUCAUUUGGCAUAAACUACUAAGUGUUAAGCUAUCGUAACAUCUUAUACAGUCAUUACCUCUUCAUAAGAGGAGUUGCACGCUUCCAUUUGAAAUGCAUGUAUGCCCCCAUUUGAAAAGUUGAAACGUGUUUUAAAUGAACCAUGCAGCAUGUCCUAAUGUCCCGACUUUCCGAAAACUUUCAUAGAUUGUUUGUAUAUAUUCUUUGUACCUAAUGAAUCUCAUUGAGUCAUAAGUUCCUAAGUAUUACAUCGGAAUUACAUUUUGCUUCCAAUAUCAUUUUUGCUACCUCAAGUAUUUUAUUCACAUGU